rnacentral:rRNA from 1 species
GACGAACGCUGGCGGCGUGCCUAAUACAUGCAAGUAGAACGCUGAAGGAGGAGCUUGCUCUUCUGGAUGAGUUGCGAACGGGUGAGUAACGCGUAGGUAACCUGCCUGGUAGUGGGGGAUAACUAUUGGAAACGAUAGCUAAUACCGCAUAAUAACAGUUGUUGCAUGACAACUGUUUGAAAGUUGCAAUUGCAUCACUACCAGAUGGACCUGCGUUGUUUUAGCUUGUUGUUGGGGUAACGGCUCACCAAGGCGGCGAUACAUAGCCGACCUGAGAGGGGGAGCGGCCGCACUGGGACUGAGACACGGCCCAGACUCCGACGGGAGGCAGCAGUAGGGAAUCUUGGGCAAUGGACGAAAGUCUGACCAAGAAACGCCGCGUGAGUGAGGAAGGUUUUCGGAUCGUAAAGCUCUGUUGUAAGAGAAGAACGCGUGUGAGAGUGGAAAGUUCACACUGUGACGGUAUCUUACCAGAAAGGGACGGCUAACUACGUG